GCCUGGCUGGCUCAGUGGGUAGAGCAUGUGACUCUUGAUCUCAGGGUUGUGAGUUCAAGCUCCCGCGUUGGGCA
rnacentral:tRNA from 1 species